rnacentral:rRNA from 1 species
GACAAACGCUGGCGGCGUGCCUAACACAUGCAAGUCGAGCGCGGAGGGGACUUCGGUCCCCCGUAAAGCGGCGAACGGGUGAGUAACACGUGGGCAACCUGCCUCAAGGACUGGGAUAACUCCGGGAAACCGGGGCUAAUACCGGGCGAUGUCGUCUGGCGCAAGCCGGCCGACCAAACGGUAGCUUCGGCCUCCGCCUUGCGAUGGGCCCGCGUCCUAUCAGCUUGUUGGUGAGGUAACGGCUCACCAAGGCUACGACGGGUAGCUGGUCUGAGAGGAUGAUCAGCCACACUGGGACUGAGAUACGGCCCAGACUCCUACGGGAGGCAGCAGUGGGGAAUUUUGCGCAAUGGGCGAAAGCCUGACGCAGCAACGCCGCGUGAGCGAAGAAGGCCUUCGGGUUGUAAAGCUCUGUCAGGGGGAAAGAAGGCACCUGGGUUAAUAGCCCAAGGGCUGACGGUACCCCCAAAGGAAGCCACGGCUAACUAC